GUGCCACAUGGUUUUCCAGAGGCUGUAGGACACGAGAUGACAUCCUCACUCUGACGGCCAGUAGAAUAUCCUUCUUGAUUCCUUCCCGCCAGCAAAACUACCUGGUCUCAGGGUCCUAUGAGAUGGCACAAUGACUGGACUGAGAAGUGUCCCUGUCCUGUAAAGAUGUACCAUAUGCUCACAUCGUUCAUGUCAGCCUUGGGAGCAGAGCUCCAGGGUGAGGAGAGGCUGGAGGCAGAGGAGGCUUUGAGAAGCUUCUCCAUCAGGCCAACUAUGACUUGAACUGACAGGAAGAGGCUGAGGAAGGGGUCCAGGCUCUGCAGAUGGGGCGGGCAGCACGGAGCAGACGCUCAAGUUUCUCAGACUCCCUCGACCCCGAAGGUUUGAUGAAAAGUGACCAAGGUGACUGGCUGCUG